rnacentral:lncRNA from 7 species
UUUCAGAUUCUAACUUCUUAUUGGAAAGCUGCUGGAGACCUUUUCUUGCUAUGCUGUUAUUUGGAGUGAAUAAAGAAUCUUUUCUACUUUCAGCUCAGAUCCUUGGAGACUCAUCAAGUUUUUGAUUAUGUUGUAUGCCUCUGCUCUGCCAUGAAUCUUUAGGAUAGGAAAGAAAGAUUUCUGCUCCCCACUGGAGAAGCAUCUCCCCUCCCUAAUCCCUUCUGCUUCUUUAUCCAUCUGGGAAAAAAUCAGAUGAUCACCCUAUACUGAUGUCUGAGACUAAUAGUUAAACUGGGAAUGUUUCAUCUGAAAAAUUAACAAUGUGAAUACUUAACGUAGAAAGUCCUCCAAGUCUGCAAAAAGCUUGAUGUAGUUAGAGGCCUCAGUAAAGAAUGAAGAGAAAUGGAUAUAACUGUGUGUGAAUUUAGCAUCUGACUACACGUCCAGUCUGACAGAAAGGUAUGAUAUCCUGGAAAGCAGAUUUCACAACCUUAUUUUCUUUCUGUUUCCUCUCAAAACUGCAAGGAGUAUUUUCUUGGACAACUCUUGAGGCAGAGCCAAUUAAUUGUUAUCUACUUAUAAAGUGGUUUGAGUUAGAGUUUCUGUUAACAGCAUGGGGGGUUAAAUGAUAGGGAAUGGCACAACUGAACUUAUGAACAACUAAUAGAAACUAAUUCACUUGGGAGUUAUGGACAGCUUGGACUAGAUGAUCCUUGCCAGCUGACUUACUUCUCAAGAUGGAAAACGUCUGGACUAUUGCUUUAUACUGCUGGGUCCAGUAAGAAGAACUUUCAGAAUGAGAAAAUGAGCCUUCCUACUUCAAAAUUUGCCCUACAUCAGGGGAAGUCCCAAACUGACUGAACUAUAACACCAUAAGCAGCUAUGUAAUACAAAUCUGUCCCUAUUAAAUACCAGCAGGUAUUUAAACACUCUUU